AUUGAACGCUGGCGGCAGGCUUAACACAUGCAAGUCGAGCGGAGAGAGGUAGCUUGCUACUGAUCUUAGCGGCGGACGGGUGAGUAAUGCUUAGGAAUCUGCCUAUUAGUGGGGGACAACAUUUCGAAAGGAAUGCUAAUACCGCAUACGUCCUACGGGAGAAAGCAGGGGAUCUUCGGACCUUGCGCUAAUAGAUGAGCCUAAGUCGGAUUAGCUAGUUGGUGGGGUAAAGGCCUACCAAGGCGACGAUCUGUAGCGGGUCUGAGAGGAUGAGCCGCCACACUGGGACUGAGACACGGCCCAGACUCCUACGGGAGGCAGCAGUGGGGGAUAUUGGACAAUGGGCGCAAGCCUGAUCCAGCCAUGCCGCGUGUGAAGAAGGCCUUAUGGUUGUAAAGCACUUUAAGCGAGGAGGAGGCUACUUUAGAUAAUACCUAGAGAUAGUGGACGUUACUCGCAGAAUAAGCACCGGCUAACUCUGUGCCAGCCGCCGCAGUAA
rnacentral:rRNA from 1 species